rnacentral:rRNA from 1 species
UGAGCAAUCUGCCCUUCUCAUUCGGAAUAAGCGUUGGAAACGACGUCUAAUGCCGAAUACGACCUCCUUUCGCAUGAUCGGAGGUGGAAAGCUCCGGCGGAGAAGGAUGAA